GAGUUUGAACCUGGCUCAGGAUGAACGCUGGCGGCGUGCUUAACACAUGCAAGUCGAACGGGAAUGCCACGCUGAUGCGAUUUCGGUCAAAUCAUGUGGCAUUCGAGUGGCGGACGGGUGAGUAACGCGUGGGUAACCUGCCUUACACAGGGGGAUAACACCUGGAAACAGGUGCUAAUACCGCAUAAGCGCACAGGGCCGCAUGGCCCGGUGUGAAAAACUCCGGUGGUGUAAGAUGGACCCGCGUCUGAUUAGCUUGUUGGCGGGGUAGGGGCCCACCAAGGCGACGAUCAGUAGCCGGCCUGAGAGGGUGGACGGCCACAUUGGGACUGAGACACGGCCCAAACUCCUACGGGAGGCAGCAGUGGGGGAUAUUGGACAAUGGGGGAAACCCUGAUCCAGCGACGCCGCGUGAGUGAAGAAGUAUUUCGGUAUGUAAAGCUCUGUCAGCAGGGAAGAAAGAAAUGACGGUACCUGACCAAGAAGCCCCGGCUAACUACGUGCCAGCAGCCGCGGUAAUACGUAGGGGGCAAGCGUUAUCCGGAAUUACUGGGUGUAAAGGGAGCGUAGACGGUGAUGCAAGUCUGGAGUGAAAGGCGGGGGCCCAACCCCCGGACUGCUCUGGAAACUGUGUAACUUGAGUGCAGGAGAGGUAAGCGGAAUUCCUAGUGUAGCGGUGAAAUGCGUAGAUAUUAGGAGGAACACCAGUGGCGAAGGCGGCUUACUGGACUGUAACU
rnacentral:rRNA from 1 species